rnacentral:rRNA from 1 species
UACGGAAGGCAGCAGGUGGGGAAUAUUGCACAAUGGGCGAAAGCCUGAUGCAGCUAUGCCGCGUGUAUGAAGAAGGCCUUAGGGUUGUAAAGUACUUUCAUCGGGGAGGAAAAAACAAAACUAAUAAUUUUAUUUCUUGACGUUACCCGAAAAAGAAGCACCGGCUAACUCCGUGCCAGCAGCCGCGGUAAUACGGAGGGUGCUAGCGUUAAUCAGAAUUACUGGGCGUAAAGAGCACGUAGGUGGUUUUUUUAAAGUCAGAUGUGAAAUCCCUGGGCUUAACCUAGGAACUGCAUUUUGAAACUGAAAUACUAGAGUAUCGUAGAGGGAGGUAGAAUUCUAGGUGUAGCGGUGAAAUGCGUAGAUAUCUGGAGGAAUACCUGUGGCGAAAGCGGCCUCCUAAACGAAUACUGACACUGAGGUGCGAAAGCUGGGGAGCAAACAGGGAUUAGAUACC